UUUUUCUGAAAUUGCGAGUAUCCUGUGCGGGUCUGUUAGGAUUCAAGUUGCGUCAAUGCGGUACCUCGUCGUUCAUCAUUUUCCCUUGAUUUCAAUAGAUGCCGGACAUUUCGUCCGAAAUUAAUUUUUAUUUUAGGAAAACAAAAUGGCAACAGGUAUUGUUAAGUGGUUCAACGACGCUAAGGGUUUCGGUUUCAUUACUCCGGACGCUGGCGGUGAAGAUCUUUUCGCUCACUUCUCGGCUAUCAAGUCCGACGGUUUCAAGUCCCUGCGCGAAAAUCAGCGCGUGACUUAUGACGAAGCUAUGGGCCCCAAAGGCAAGCAAGCUGCGAACAUCAUUCCCGAGUAAUUCUCAGGAAUAAUAAAGCAAGUAAAAAGCCCCGGCAUGCCGGGGCUUUUUUU
rnacentral:sRNA from 1 species